UUGCUUGGGCAACACCAGUAGUAAAAUUGGAAUGAUACAGUGAAGGUUAGCAUAGCCCUUGCACAAAGAUGACAUGCAGAUUCAUGAAACAUUACAUAUUUUA
rnacentral:snRNA from 1 species